rnacentral:rRNA from 1 species
AUUGAACGCUGGCGGCAGGCCUAACACAUGCAAGUCGAGCGGAUGAAGCGUGCUUGCUUCUGGAUUCAGCGGCGGACGGGUGUGUAAUGCCUAGGAAUCUGCCUGGUAGUGGUUGAUAACGUCCGGAAACGGGUGCUAAUACUGCCUACGUCCUGAGGGUGAAAGUGGGGGAUCGUCGGACAUCACCCUCUCAGGUGAGUCUAGGUCGGUUUAGCUAGUUUGUGGGGUAAUGGCCUUCUAAGGCGACGAUCCGUAACUGGCCUGAGAGAAUGAUCAGGCACCUUGGAAGUUGGACGCGCUCCAGACUCCUGCGGGAGGCAGCAGUGGCGAAUGUUGGGCAAUGGGCGGGAGCCUGGUACAGCGAUGCCGAGUGUGUGGCGAAGGUCUUCCGUGUGGAAUGCCCUUUUGGUUGGGAGAAAGGGCUGUAAGUUAAGACCUAGCUGUAUUGACGGUACCAACAGAAUAAGCACCGGCUAACUACGUG